AUUUUUUCUGUGUUGGUGUAAUGUACUCAGGUGAAUAUGAUGCUUGUGAUGUUACUCUGAGUGUAUAUCAAGCUUGUCCGGUGUUGAUAUACACUCAGAGUAACAUCACAAGCAUCAUAUUCACCUGAGUACAUUACACCAACACAGAAAAAUCAUGUUUAAUAU